rfam:Citrus clementina cultivar Clemenules unplaced genomic scaffold scaffold_5, whole genome shotgun sequence.
UCGAGCCGGAUGAUGAAAAAUUAUCAUGUCCGGUUCUUUGGGGGGAUGGAUCUAUAAGAAUUCGCCUAUCCCAAU